rnacentral:rRNA from 2 species
UUUUAUGGAGAGUUUGAUCCUGGCUCAGGACGAACGCUGGCGGCGUGCCUAAUACAUGCAAGUCGAGCGGACUGAUGGGAGCUUGCUCCCUGAKGUUAGCGGCGGACGGGUGAGUAACACGUGGGCAACCUGCCUGUAAGACUGGGAUAACUCCGGGAAACCGGGGCUAAUACCGGAUAACCCGUUCCACCUCAUGGUGGAGCGGUAAAAGAUGGCCUCUGGCUAUCACUUACAGAUGGGCCCGCGGCGCAUUAGCUAGUUGGUAAGGUAACGGCUUACCAAGGCGACGAUGCGUAGCCGACCUGAGAGGGUGAUCGGCCACACUGGGACUGAGACACGGCCCAGACUCCUACGGGAGGCAGCAGUAGGGAAUCUUCCGCAAUGGACGAAAG